AUGUGUUGAGUAAUGCCCCAAUCUAAUCCAGGAAUGAAAAGCUCGUUUGUAAAUUGUGACUGUGAGUCUGUGAAUCAUCAUCGUCCUCUCUGGUGUCGGCUUCGAUCUCAAUAGUCAAUCUCAAUUUCGAUUCCUUCAGAUCCGAUCUGAUCCCCCUUCUUUGACCAUUUCAACAACACACGUCCACCCAAUUUCCUACACACUGUUCACACUCCUCUGCAACCUAAACACCUACUCAAUUCUCACUUCACCAACGCACCAAUGGCCGAAUCGACUCCAAACACCGCCACAAUCGACUGCAACCUCCUCGUCGCCAAAGCCCUAGCACGCGCCGGCGUCACGCACAUGUUCGGCGUCGUCGGAAUCCCCGUCACCUCGUUAGCCACACGCGCCGUAACCCUUGGCAUCCGAUUCAUCGCCUUCCACAACGAACAAUCCGCCGGUUACGCCGCCUCCGCCUACGGCUACCUCACCGGCCGCCCCGGUGUCCUCCUCACCGUCUCCGGUCCCGGCUGCGUUCACGGCCUCGCCGGUCUCUCCAACGCCGCCGUCAACUGUUGGCCUACCGUCAUGAUUUCCGGUUCCUGUGAUCAAAACGACGUCGGUAAAGGUGAUUUUCAGGAGCUUGACCAGAUCGCUGCGGUAAAACCGUUUGUUAAGUUUUCUGUUAAAGCUAAAAAUAUUAAUGAAAUACCUAAUUGUGUUUUUAGUGUGCUUGAUCACGCCGGGUCGGGUCGGCCCGGUGGAUGUUAUUUAGAUAUUCCUUCUGAUGUGCUUCACCAAACCCUAACUGAACUAGAAGCUAAUAAGUUAUUAGAUGAUGCUGAAAAGAAUAGAUAUAUAGAACCGGUUAAGAGCGUAUCAAAUGAUGAUAUAGCGAAGGCGAUAUCGGCUAUUAGAAAAGCGGAGAGGCCGUUGAUUGUGUUUGGCAAAGGUGCAGCUAUAGCCAGGGCUGAAAAUGAGAUUAAGGAUUUAGUUGAAAAGACGGGGAUACCGUUCUUGCCUACGCCGAUGGGGAAGGGUUUGUUGCCGGAUACGCAUGAGCUCGCGGCAACGGCUGCGCGUUCACUCGCGAUCGGGAAGUGUGAUGUUGCUAUUGUGGUUGGUGCGCGGUUGAAUUGGUUGUUGCAUUUUGGAGAGCCGCCUAAGUGGUCGAAGGAUGUUAAGUUUAUUUUAAUUGAUGUUGACGAGGGUGAGAUUGAGUUUCGGAAGCCGUAUUUAGGGUUGGUUGGGGAUGCGAAGAAGGUGCUUAAGGUGUUGAAUAAGGAGAUUAAGGAUGACCCGUUUUGUUUGGGGCGUACGCAUCCGUGGAUUGAAGCGAUAACGAAUAAGGUUAAGGAGAACGUGUCGAGAAUGGAGGGUCAGUUGGCUAAGGAAGUUGUGCCGUUUAAUUUCUUGACACCGAUGAGGAUUAUCCGGGAUGCGAUUAUCGGGUUGGGUAGUCCGGCUCCGAUACUGGUUUCGGAAGGGGCUAACACCAUGGACGUUGGACGGUCGGUUUUGGUUCAAACCGAGCCCCGGACUCGGUUGGAUGCGGGAACAUGGGGGACAAUGGGAGUCGGUUUGGGUUAUUGUAUCGCUGCAGCGGUGGCUUCACCUGAUCGGCUCGUGGUUGCGGUUGAAGGUGACUCUGGGUUUGGGUUUAGUGCUAUGGAAGUCGAGACAUUGGUUCGUUACCAGUUACCGGUAGUGGUGAUAGUGUUCAACAACGGUGGUGUAUACGGUGGUGACAGAAGAAACCCUGAGGAUAUUACGGGUCCGUAUAAGGAUGAUCCGGCACCCACUUCGUUUGUCCCCGGUGCAGCGUAUCAUCUUCUAAUUGAAGCUUUUGGUGGAAAAGGUUAUCUUGUUGGGACGCCAGAUGAGCUUAAAUCUGCUCUUACCGAAUCUUUUUCUGCAAGGAAGCCUGCUGUUAUCAAUGUCACGAUUGAUCCGUAUGCUGGUGCAGAAAGUGGCAGGAUGCAACACAAAAAUUGAGGUACCUUUGGAAGCGUCAGACACUCUUUUUUUGGUCUUUAUUUGACGAGAGGCUAUCUAUUUUCGAUAUACAUACAUUUAUCGCAUUGGCGUAUCAUGUAAACCAGCAUGUGAAAAGUCUUUUAGGUUCUAAUGGAAGACCAUGGUUGCAAAAGUCGCUAGGCGCUCCCUAGUCGGAUUCGGGAGUACUCGGGAGGUACUCGGGAGUAUUCGGGAGUACUCGGGGAGUAAUUGGCCUGGGAGAAGAGUACUCGUGCCUCGGCAACCUACCUUGUAUUGAGCGAGAUUUCAGAUGUUGACAUGUUAUUUUUAAAAAUUAUUGUGGCAUAGACGACGAUUUUGAAUGGUUCUAAGAAGGGAUCGGUGAGAGGAUGGAAAAGAGUUUCACAUCGUUAGAUUGAACAACUCACAACCGGUGAUGUUCUUCCAACCUCAACAAUUCUUUUUUUAAAAGACCAACAAAGCUUUCUUAUUAUUAUUUCACCAUCCAACCGAAACAGUUGUUGGCUAUAAUAUAAUUACAUAGUUGCGGGAUUCAGAUACACAUUUCAGAUUUCGGUAUGAUCUUCUGGAACACAUUGCUACCGUGUCUGCUCUUAGGAAUAGGAAUGUGAACAUCCAAAACAGCCCAUGUCUUUUAUGUAAUGAAGACGAGUCCGUUGAGCAUUUGUUCACUUCUUGCCAUUUUUCUCAAACGUAUGGGGAGUGUUAUCUCAAUGGUGUCACAUUCCAGUUGUCGCUUUUCAUAUCAAGGACGUGCUGGUACUGCACAAGAGAUUGGGAGGUUCAAAGAAGAAAAAAAGGUGUUGCAUGCGGUGGUGCUAACGGCUCUGUGGAGUCUUUAACGAAGCGGUUUUGCAAAAUAAAAUCCCCUCGGUCUCAAAGGUGGUUGAGCAUAGGAAACUAAAACCUUAGGCGCUCUUUGGGUCAAAAAUCGAGCGGGUGCCGGUUCUUUAUCGUGGGAAGCUUGGAAGGACUAUGAUUUAUCAGAUCUGAAGUCGGAAGUCCGCUUGAAGUUGCAGACAAGCGGGAAACAAAAUAAAGAGCCAAAACUGGAUUUGUGAGCUAGUUUGAGACUACAAGAAAUGGAUGCAAUGAAGAAAAAACUGAACUUUUACAAAGCCUUGUGCAAAAAUUUCUACAUCUGGAGAUUCCUAAUGACUAUUUCAAGCACCAAACAAGGAAAAAUAUACCACAAACUUCAAAUCUAUUGGAAACUAGCUCAUGUUGUUCUAGCAAAUCCAUUCACAAACUAACACAAACGCCCACUGCUGAGGCCACAUAGUUGAAACACAUACACAAAAGCUAUCAAUGCAAUGAGCGAACAUCAUCAACUACAAAAGACUAAAUACAACAACCAAGCCUUAUAUUCGCAACAAUUUCCGCUCCC